AAUUUUCUCUCUUCUCCAUUGUUUUAAUUGGUUUAAAAAUACUUUUAUGCAUUUUUUAAUUCUGGAAAUUUUAUUUUAUGGUUCUCAUUUUAUUUCCAACCUUCCAUAAUUUUCUUGUCCAUUUAUUUGGUGUUUUGAAGGACUUUGUGGUUUUUCCAUUUUUAUUUCUAUUUUAAAAAUCAUUUAAAAAUACCUUUAAUGCAUUUUUAUUUCAUUUAAUUGCAUUUUAAAUUUGUUUAACCUUGUGGACUUUUGUUGGCCUUGAACCAUGAUGAGUUUGAC
rnacentral:lncRNA from 1 species